CUACGGAACUCCUACGGGAGGCAGCAGUGGGGAAUUUUGGACAAUGGGCGCAAGCCUGAUCCAGCCAUGCCGCGUGAGUGAUGAAGGCCUUAGGGUUGUAAAGCUCUUUCACCGAUGAAGAUAAUGACGGUAGUCGGAGAAGAAGCCCCGGCUAACUUCGUGCCAGCAGCCGCGGUAAUACGAAGGGGGCUAGCGUUGUUCGGAUUUACUGGGCGUAAAGCGCACGUAGGCGGUUUGUUAAGUCAGGGGUGAAAUCCCGGAGCUCAACUCCGGAACUGCCUUUGAUACUGGCAAGCUAGAGUCCGGAAGAGGUAAGUGGAACUCCUAGUGUAGAGGUGGAAUUCGUAGAUAUUAGGAAGAACACCAGUGGCGAAGGCGGCUUACUGGUCCGGAACUGACGCUGAGGUGCGAAAGCGUGGGGAGCAAACAGGAUUAGAUACCCCUGUAGUCCUCUUCGA
rnacentral:rRNA from 1 species